UGAGGUCUCAUUUGCCUCCUGAGCUCUGCGCUCAGUGAUUGGAUCCUGGAGUUGGCCGUAGGGCAUUUAGGUAAGCACGGUAACCUGUCAGGUGACCGCCCUCUCCUCUUCCGGGUGUCCGGCUUUGUGUGGGUAGCAGGUAGCACGAAAGGUUGCUGUAGCUGCAUCAGGGUGAGCGUAGGCUCCGACUGGGUUGCGUCCAGGUAUUGGCGAGUUUGGAACCGCAUUACGUGGCGGGUGUGUGGCCACGCUCAGCUGAUGCUUCUGAGCGACGGCUUCUACCGACAGUUGUUGUCUCCUCUCCAUCUCCGGCCGCAACAAGUUGCGAGCAGUUACCGCUCGACCGUGUAGAUUGCAGAGCCCAGCGUGUCUACUGCUUCCGGCUGCUGUUUUGUUCACCAAGGAUUCACCCAAAGCUGACCAGCACAUUGCACACCUGCCCCUGGAAGACCCAUCUACUCAAGAGUACAGUCCCUCUGUUGAAAGAUAAGUGGCAUUUGUUCAACAUAGUGGAAGUGCAUUUGUUUUAGAAUGCCCGUGUAACAUGGUGGAAUUGUACUAAUCAGUGUUUGUGGGUUUGCUCCCUCUCUUUUCAGCCAGGUGCUCUGGGCCUACGCGAGUGGCAGGACGAGUCCCCGGGUGGUGGAUCUACUUCGGGUUGGUUCACAUUUCGGGUGCCCCUCCCCCUUUCAGUUUCCAGCUUUGGCUGAUCACUUGUGGUGUAAUCAAAUAUACUGCUACUUUCCCCCUGUUGUUGCCCUGCCAGUCGUGGUAGGUCUCUGCCCUAGGCUAGUCCCCUUAAUUCCCCCCCCCUUUUUCUCAUACCUUGUGGACCUAGUGUGGCUACCAAAGCCAGCCUUGUAAUAACAGGUGUGCAGUGUUGCUGGUGUGUGCGUGUUUGGUUGUGUGUUUGUGUGCAUUGUUGCUGGUGUGUGCGUGUUUGAUUGUGUGUGGGUGUGUGUGUGUGUGUUUGUCCUGUUGUGUCAUUGGGGAGGUCCAGAGUUGGCCAUCUUGGCCUCCGGGUAGUGACCCGAGUAUUGUCUAUGUCCUUUUGUCAAAGUUUAAUAAAUAUCUCUUG